rnacentral:rRNA from 1 species
GACGAACGCUGGCGGCGUGCUUAACACAUGCAAGUCGAGCGGAAAGGCCCUUCGGGGUACUCGAGCGGCGAUCGGGUGAGUAACACGUGAGUAACCUGCCCCAGACUUUGGGAUAACCCUCGGAAACGGGGGCUAAUACCGGAUACGACACAGCUUCGCAUGGGGUCUGUGUGGAAAGUUUUUCGGUUUGGGAUGGGCUCGCGGCCUAUCAGCUUGUUGGUGGGGUGAUGGCCUACCAAGGCGACGACGGGUAGCCGGCCUGAGAGGGCGACCGGCCACACUGGGACUGAGACACGGCCCAGACUCCUACGGGAGGCAGCAGUGGGGAAUAUUGCACAAUGGGCGGAAGCCUGAUGCAGCGACGCCGCGUGAGGGAUGACGGCCUUCGGGUUGUAAACCUCUUUCAGCAGGGACGAAGCGUAAGUGACGGUACCUGCAGAAGAAGCGCCGGCCAACUACGUG